UGGGGAAUUUUGCACAAUGGGGGAAACCCUGAUGCAGCGACGCCGCGUGAUUUAGAAGGCCUUCGGGUUGUAAAAAUCUUUUCUAUGGGAAGAAAAUGACAGUACCAUAGGAAUAAGGACCGGCUAAUUACGUGCCAGCAGCCGCGGUAAUACGUAAGGUCCGAGCGUUGUCCGGAAUCAUUGGGCGUAAAGGGUACGUAGGCGGGUAAGCAAGUUAGAAGUGAAAUCCUAUAGCUCAACUAUAGUAAGCUUUUAAAACUGCUCAUCUUGAGGUAUGGAAGGGAAAGUGGAAUUCCUAGUGUAGCGGUGAAAUGCGCAGAUAUUAGGAGGAAUACCGGUGGCAACGGCGACUUUCUGGCCAUAACCUGACGCUGAGGUACGAAAGCGUGGGUAGCAAACAGG
rnacentral:rRNA from 1 species